GAUCUGGCUCAGGAUGAACGCUAGCGGCAGGCUUAACACAUGCAAGUCGAGGGGCAUCGGGAGUAGCAAUACUGCCGGCGACCGGCGCAAGGGUGCGUAACGCGUGAGCAACAUGCCCGUAUCAGGGGGAUAAUCCAUGGAAACGUGGUCUAAUACCCCAUAGUAAUUAUGUAAGGCAUCUUAUAUAAUUUAAAGCUUUGGUGGAUACGGAUUGGCUCGCGUGACAUUAGCUGGAUGGUAAGGUAACGGCUUACCAUGGCUACGAUGUCUAGGGGUUCUGAGAGGAAGGUCCCCCACACUGGAACUGAGACACGGUCCAGACUCCUACGGGAGGCAGCAGUGAGGAAUAUUGGACAAUGGAUGGAAGUCUGAUCCAGCCAUGCCGCGUGCAGGAAGACGGCCCUAUGGGUUGUAAACUGCUUUUGUAUGGGAGCAAUAAGGGCUACGUGUAGUCCGAUGAGAGUACCAUACGAAUAAGCACCGGCUAACUCCGUGCCAGCCGCCGC
rnacentral:rRNA from 1 species